UACGGGGGGGGCAAGCGUUGUUCGGAAUUACUGGGCGUAAAGGGCUCGUAGGCGGCCAACUAAGUCAGACGUGAAAUCCCUCGGCUUAACCGGGGAACUGCGUCUGAUACUGGAUGGCUUGAGUCCGACAGGGGAGCAUGGAAUUCCUGGUGUAGCGGUGAAAUGCGCAGAUAUCAGGAGGAACACCGGUGGCGAAGGCGGUGCUCUGGGUCGGUACUGACGCUGAGGAGCGAAAGCGUGGGUAGCAAACAGG
rnacentral:rRNA from 1 species